rnacentral:lncRNA from 1 species
UCCACCCUAAGUGGGUAAGCUCAGAGGUAACCAUCUCUCCUAAUUUCACAGAAGCGACUAAAGGCUAAAAUAUCUUGCCCGCAAUGGUAUAUUUAACGGUCCUGCAAUCUCAGGAUUACAUGAUUUCAUAGCUGUUCGACCGACUGUUCUUUGAUUUAUCUCUCUCUGUGUGUGUGUCUAUAUAUAUGCAAAUAUAUCUAUAUAUACAAACACACACACACACAUAUACAUAUAUAUGUAUAUACAUAUGUAUAUACAUAUAUAUAUAUAUACAUAUGUAUGUAUGUAUGUAUGUAUAUAUAUAUGUAUGUAUAUAUGUACGUAUGUAUGUAUGUAU